CGCCGCCGAAGACCGAUGGUCACCCCCAACCAGGUCGGCGCUCGCCAAUUCUCCGAAUUGUCCAAACACAGGAGGAGUCGUUUGCUCGUUAAGAGAUUUUCGAAGCUUUCGCGGGCCUUGUGGACAGAGCCAUGUUUGUCCGCUUUAGACCGCGCUAAUGGUAUUGCGUAAAUGGAGAGGAAAAGGUGGUAAGAGGAGAUACCGGCAAUUUCCCGGUGUUUAAUCAUCAGGACGCGGCGUCGUAUUUGGAACUGGGAAUUAAGCCCGUGGCGAGCCGCAGGGAUUAAUUGGCCCACCCGCUCAAUUGGCUCCCCUGUUCCUGGAGGAGAGAUAACUUUUUAGCGGAGGGUAAUUUUGUAGAAGGGGAGAUCCUCGCCGGUGGACGUGCACUCAGGAGGCGAGAAACGUGGAACCGCGGUCCGCCACCCGGGGACCGUCAUCGCCGAGGACCACCGUCGACCGGAUGACUCUUCGCCGACCUCCUGGGAAGCGACUGGACGGGACGAAGCGGAGGGAUGCGGAGCAUCGCCGGCGCGAAAGGGCGCCGAGGACCUCGAAGAAAGCUCCCCGGUAGGCCGGGGCCACACGAGCGAACUUUCGACGUCCGUCGAAAUUUACCCCUGUGUCGAUGAACCACUUACCGUACGUCGGGCGACGUACGGUGGCCUCGACGAGCCUUUGUGCGGCGCAAUGUUCGUCGCGACGCGCCUCGUUCUCGACGCCCGUGUGGCCCCAGCCUUAGACUUCCGCGCGCGCCGCUCGCGCUAAUGUCACCCACUGGCCGGUCCGGUCCGAUGUUUCGAGGCCGCGCCUCCGCUCCGAACUGGCCCGACCUCUCGCCGAGGGACCGCAUCCGGGGCCCUCGCGCCGAGUCGAGUGCUCUUUCUGUCUCGACUGUACCGAAGCGAGUCGUCUUUUCUUCGUUCUUUAUUUUCCAUGCGACGCCCCGUGGCCGGCGCACUCGGCGCGCGGCGCACUGCGGCUCGGCGACUCCACCUUAGCGCGGCGACGUUCCGCUGGGUCUUGUUUAGAUGCCCUAAAGGACGCAGUCGAGGGUCUAGAAUUGCGAGGAGGAUCGUUCUAUGGACAGAGGCAUUCGGUAUUUUAGAAUCAAGGGAAAGUGUACUUUGAUUUAUGGCUCUCUCGCGGAUUGGCUUAAAGAUAUAUCCAAUGAGAGACGGAUUUAAGGCGACGGCUAGGGAAGUGGGAAAAAAUUGGGAAUGGUUGGAAACGGUGGUACUCGGCGAAUCGAUCGUUUACCGAGCUGUCCUAUAAUAGGACCAGUGCAUAUUUUAAGGCGGAUCCCAGCUGAGAACCUUUGCGCGCUUCCUCGCGCUCCAAACUCGGAGGGCCCUUUAUAGGUGCCCCAUGCCGAGAACGCGGCGAAACCAAUAUGGCGGGAGACGAUCUUAGAAAAUAGCGGCGAAGAAGCGGACGAACUUAUUUAUAGAUUUUCCACCGGCGAGGAUUCGUCGCUCCUCGGCCGGUCCGACGAGACGUCGGAAACGGGAAGAGCGGCCGAUAAUUGUGAAAGUUGGCUCCCCUUGCCGAAGGAUUUAUUUUGGCACGGAAGGAAUUCGAGUUACGUAUCGGAAAUGCUGUCGAUGCUUUGUGUACCUGCUGGGUGCAUCGUCGCCGAUGCGGCUAAAAGUUGCACAAUCGUUUUAACGGGCGCAACGUGCGUCAAGGAGGGCUGCCUUCGGGAAGCCCUGGGCUCUCGCGUUUGUAUUUGUAUUUGACGCACAUUAUCGGCGGUCAAACUUAUCCAGUUUCACAAGGCUUAUUUUCCUCUGCGGUACCAAAAUGGCCGCGCGCUACGGAAACCGCAAUCGGGAAACGCGAAACCGUUGAACUACAUUUUCCAAGGGUUAAUCACCGGCGAAGUACGGAGGUAUAACGUAUUACCGUGGGACUGUAAUUGCGAUAUAAUAAAGGGCGGACCGAGAUAACCACAAGGGGCGAUUUUAUGCGGCAGGGGAACCAGGGCAAGCGGAUUUCAAAAAGGCCUCACCUGCCGAAUCGAUAGAAUUUAUUAACCGCGGAUGCUACUCGUUUCUAUGUUUUUCUAUUUAUUAAAAUUAUCGAUAGGAACGUAUAAACUGUAAACGACUCGAGGAGGACCUCUUAGUUCCCGUGGCCUCUGUACGUUUUUUUAUUAGACAUUUGGCAAAAACAACAUUUUCACGUGCAUCGACGGCAAUGACCAGUGACGUCACCGACGCUUCGGGUGUCUCCAGUUCGGUCGACGAAUUUUGAGAUUUAGUUGCUUUGCCAUCUCAGAAAUAGCGCACGCGGCGAACUAUUAUAAACCUCCGAAAAAUGUAAGGUCACAGGCGUCCACUGCUUUUAUUAGUAACGUUUCGGGUUUCAAUCGUCCCUUAGAUCCCGAUUUAAACGCAAAGUGGCAUCCUGCGGAGUGUUCCUUCGGAGUCUGGUUGUCGGCUCCGAUUCGCGACGCUUUGAAUUCGAGUCGCCCUUUUAAGAAGGUUAGGGCCGAAACUUUCCUCGAUUCUUAAUGAUCCGAUAAGUCGAGUAGACGGAGACCGCGCGUGCAAUCGCUUCUAUUUACGUUCGGUAAACCGACUUAACCUUGCACUCGAAUUAUUAAUAGACGCUACCGGCAUAUAUUGUCAGACAGGUGGUAAAGUUACAUAAAAUCCCGCCAACCGAU
rnacentral:lncRNA from 1 species